rnacentral:miRNA from 1 species
GGUGCUGUGCUGGGUGCAGGAUACAGAGGUGCGAAAACAUGGAUCCUGCCCCCCAAGGAGCUCACAGUCUACUGGGAUGACA